AAAUAUUCAAUGAAACUCCACACUUCAGUGUUGACGCCUGGCUCCAUCAGAUCGUGGAUUCUCCUUUAUUCCCAUCAAUGGACAUAUAGAAGCCCAGCAUAAACAGAUGUGAAGAGGAAGGUUUUAAUACCAUAAGUACAGCAAUAUGCAGAAAUGCACAGACUUCAGUGGAAGUACAGACGAGGGAAGCAGAUCUACUCUGAGAGGCACAGCCUGCUUCUACUGAAGGAGAGUUUUCCAGGAAUGUGCAAGACAACAUUUAAAUGUUAAAUUAAAUCUUAAAUGUUAAUUACUCAGCAGUCAAGAGGAGGGCUGUCUGUGAUGCAGAUUCCUUGUGUGCUUGAGAAAAGACUUUAAGCUUCCAGGUCCCAAGAGCCUAUUUACUCCCCAGGGACUGAUGCUUCAGUGCGCCCUGCAUCACAGCAGCAUAGGAAGUGCUGUGAAGUACAUCUUCGUAUGCCCUGUUUACACACCUACACUAAACUGCCUUUGAGAAAUAAGUGCUUAGAUCACAGGAUCCAUGUCCACACCAAGUCCUGUUUGCGCAGGAUUCAGUCUUUAGUCUUGAAGGAUGAGCUAUGCCUCUGCAGUUCUGCAGAGGACGCCGUGGAAGCUUGAGGUUGCACACCGGUACAACUGGAACUGUGGCCCAUCGCUCCUGGUCCUCCAGCUUCACUGCCAAGUGCUACUGAAUAAUGUCACGGCACUGGCAGAUAACCUCAACAGGGAAGAGUAAAUGAACAGCACAGUUUGCCUGACCUCACGGCUGAAUCUGGAGCUCACAGUGCAAGAACGAAAAUGCUGAGUUCAUAUAUAAAGAUGUUGGAAAUUUAUAA
rnacentral:sRNA from 1 species